AUUGAACGCUGGCGGCAGGCCUAACACAUGCAAGUCGAGCGAGCGGCGGACGGGUGAGUAAUGUCUGGGAAACUGCCUGAUGGAGGGGGAUAACUACUGGAAACGGUAGCUAAUACCGCAUACCAUCAGAUGUGCCCAGAUGGGAUUAGCUAGUAGGUGGGGUAACGGCUCACCUAGGCGACGAUCCCUAGCUGGUCUGAGAGGAUGACCAGCAAAACUGGAACAGAGACACGGGCCAGACUCCUACGGGAGGAAGCAGGGGGGAAUAUUGCACAAGGGGCGCAAGCCGUAUGCAGCAAUGCGGGGUGUGGGAAGAAGGCCUUCGGAUUGUAAAGCACUUUCAGCGGGGAGGCGUUACCCGAAGAAGAAGCACCGGCUAACUCCGUGCCAGAAGCCGCGGUAAUAC
rnacentral:rRNA from 1 species